CCAACACCCAGAUCAUACUUUGUCUUCUUGCCCAAAUUCCACACCCUCUUGCUCCCCUUCAUCACCACCAAAUCAUGCCCAAAUGUAUGGUGAUGGGCCGGCUCAACACUCCCUGCCUUGAAGCUCACUAUAGCUGAUGUUGGGCUCUCCCUUACUAUCUUCAUUGAACCUCCUGGGAUAAUAUCAAUCGGAUCCAGCUUCCUGUUCUUCACUAA
rnacentral:misc_RNA from 1 species